CAUGAUUGCUCUGAUUGAAUCAUGGCAAAAUACUUAUUCAGUUCUAACUGUUUAUUAAAUAAGCUUGGGUCUUUAAGGCUUGACCUUGGUGAAUGCAGUAAAAAAUAUUUAAAUAAGAUCUUAUGUGUAAAACACUUCAAUGUGCCUUUUUUAUAUUUUUUUCUUUAGGCCAACUCUCACCUGUUGGCGGAAAGUUAGCAAAAUAUGUUAAGGACUUUUAUUCAGAGAUAAUGUUGCUAAACGAUUUACAGUCGAUAAUCUUUCGAAAGCAGAAAAACUCAGUGUCAAACAAAGAAUACGCGAAUUAUUUGAGAUAUGAUUGAAAUUUGCAAAGAAAGUAAAAA
rnacentral:lncRNA from 1 species